AGAGAGAGACAUGCGCGCAUAUCAAUAAGCGGAGGAAAAGAAACUAACAAGGAUUCCCUUAGUAACGGCGAGUGAAGCGGGAAGAGCUCAAAUUUGAAAUCUUCAAGGUUUUACCUUGACGAAUUGUAGUUUAAAGAAGUGUUUUCUGCUGAAGUUUUGGUAAAAGUUCUUUGGAAUAGGACAUCAUAGAGGGUGAGAAUCCCGUAUUUGAUCAUUAUUUUCAGCUUUGUGAUACACUUUCAAAGAGUCGGAUUGUUUGGGAAUGCAGUCCAAAAUGGGUGGUAAAUUUCAUCUAAAGCUAAAUAUUGGCGAGAGACCGAUAGCGAACAAGUACCGUGAGGGAAAGAUGAAAAGAACUUUGAAAAGAGAGUUAAACAGUACGUGAAAUUGUCAAAAGGGAAGCGUUUGACACCAGUGUCGUUUUCUCGAAAAUCAAUUAAAAAUGGCUCGAUUUUGUAUUGUUGAGACCUUAAAAGCUCACUGUACAUUUUUCGUGUCUUUUUUAAUGCACUUUUCGUUUAACAAGUCAACAUCAGUUUCUUUUGUUGUAAAAGGGUCAUUGGAAGGUGGCUUUCCUUUUCGGAGAAAGUGUUUAUAGCCUUUGGCCUCUGCAAUCGGAGAGACUGAGGUCUGCAGCGUAGACUCUUCGGGGUUAGAUACAUUUGUGCUAAGUUAUAGCUUUUUAUAGACAACUUGUUGACUAUAAUUAGUCUUGUAGCUUACUCGCUUAUGCUAUUUUACCUACGCUUAGGAUGUUGAAGAUGUAGCACAUCA
rnacentral:rRNA from 1 species